rnacentral:rRNA from 1 species
AUUUACUGGGCGUAAAGGGCGCGUAGGCGGCUGGUUAAGUGUGGUGUGAAACCUCCAGGGCUCAACCCGGAAACUGCACCGCAUACUGGCCCAGCUUGAGGAACGCAGAGGUGACUGGAAUUCCCGGUGUAGCGGUGAAAUGCGUUGAUAUCGGGAGGAACUCCAAUGGCGAAGGCAGGUCACUGGGCGUUAUCUGACGCUGAGGCGCGAAAGCGUGGGUAGCAAACAGGAUUAGAUACCCUGGUAGUCCACGCCCUAAACGAUGGAUGCUAGACGUGAGAGGUAUCGACCCCUCUUGUGUCGCAGCUAACGCAUUAAGCAUCCCGCCUGGGGAGUACGGCCGCAAGGUUGAAACUCAAAUGAAUUGACGGGGACCCGCACAAGCGGUGGAGCAUGUGGAUUAAUUCGAUACUAACCGAAGAACCUUACCCAGGUUUGACAUCGAGGGAAAGGCCGUGAAAGCGGUCCCUCGCCCACAAGGCGACCCAAAGACAGAUGUUGCAUGGCUGUCGUCAGCUCGUGCCGUGAGGUGUACAGUUAAGUCUGCCAACGAGCGCAACCCUCGUCCUAUGUUGCCAGCGAGUAAAGUCGGGAACUCAUGGGAGACCGCCGGUGUAAGCCGGAGGAAGGUGGGGAUGACGUCAAGUCAGCAUGGCUCUUACGCCUGGGGCUUCACACAUGCUACAAUGGACGCAACAAAGGGCAGCAAGACCGCGAGGUGGAGCUAAUCCCAAAAAUACGUCCUCAGUUCAGAAUGCAGUCUGCAACUCGACUGCAUGAAGGCGGAAUCGCUAGUAAACGCAGGUCAGCUAUACUGCGUUGAAUACGUUCCCGGGUCUUGUACACACCGCCCGUCAAGUCACCUGAAUUGUCUUCACCCGAAGUCCGUGGCCCA